CCUACGGGAGGCAGCAGUGAGGAAUAUUGGUCAAUGGGCGGAAGCCUGAACCAGCCAAGUAGCGUGCGGGAUGAAGGCCCUACGGGUCGUAAACCGCUUUUGCACGGGGAUAACACCCUCCACUUGUGGAGGUCUGCAGGUACCGUGCGAAUAAGGGCCGGCUAAUUCCGUGCCAGCAGCCGCGGUAUUACGGAGGGCCCGAGCGUGAUCCGGAUUCAUGGGGGUUAUAGGGAGCGUGGGCGGGCGUGCAAGUCAGCGGGAAAAUCGCGGGGCUAAACCGCGCCCCGCAGUUGAAACUGGACGCCUUGAGUUCGCAACAGGCAGGCGGAAUUCGUGGUGUAGCGGUGAAAUGCAUAGAUAUCACGAGGAACCCCGGUUGCGAAGGCAGCCUGCCGGGGUGCGACUGACGCUGAGGCUCGAAGGUGUGGGUAUCAAACAGGAUUAGAUACCCCUGUAGUC
rnacentral:rRNA from 1 species